rnacentral:misc_RNA from 1 species
AUACCUGUUCGAGCGUCAUUACACCCCUCAAAGUUAACUCUUUGACGUUGGGCAAUGCCUUUAGGCAUGCCUUAAAAUCAGCGAUGGUGAUAUUCAACCGCAGGCGCACAAACGUCGUCUAGCUGGGGGGAUGUUGUCAGUCAAUUGAUGAAUUUCUAAAUGUUGACCUCGGAUCAGGUAGGAUUACCCGCUGAACUUAA